rnacentral:tRNA from 1 species
AACUUAAUAGUCAAUAAUGAUUUUAAAUUGCAAAUUUAAAGGAAAAUUUUAUAAAUUUUUAAGUUU